rnacentral:lncRNA from 1 species
AGGUUUCGGGGCUGGCUGGUUCGGAGGCUCUGCUAUUUCCUGUGGUCCCUGGAGCAGCACAUCCCCCCCUGCCAGGAUGUCCCACAGAAGAUCAUGGAAAGCACCGGGGUGCAGAACCUCCUCUCAGGGAGGGUCCCAGGAGGCACUGGGGAAGGCCAGGUGCCUGACCUUGUGAAGAAGGAGGUACAGCGCAUCCUGGGUCACAUCCAGGCCCCACCCCGUCCCUUCCUGGUCAGGCUGUUCAGCUGGGCGCUGCUGAGGUUCCUGAACUGCCUGUUCCUGAAUGUGCAGCUCCACAAGGGUCAGAUGAAGAUGGUCCAGAAGGCCGCCCAGGCAGUAAGGCCCGCCCUCCAUUGGGUUGGGGAUGGUGGGAGCAGAAGAGCAGAGGCUGGGCCAAGCCCUUAAGUCAGGAGCAGUCCCCAUCUGGUCCUGCUUCCUGGCCUCUCUGUUCCCAGCCAUACAGCAGUCCAGUCCCCAUCAGCUGGUGGGAAAAAUCCCCUGCUCUUUGCCGACCUUCCCUUAUGUCUCACGGCCCUGCUCCCAUGGGGCUUCCUCUAACGUCUUUCCAUCAUGGUCUUAACAACCAUGACGUCAGUGCGUCGGUGCAGUUACCUUAAGAGUUGUCUAAAGGCUCCUUUGCUUUUGGGAAAUGUGCUCAGAGGAAGAACUCUGCAGCUGAACUGUCCCUCCCUCUGGGGCUGCCCUGGGUCUUUGGCUGCCUGUGUCCUCAGGGUGGGGCAGGUUGGCACUUCCCUCUGGCUCUCCCCGGAGCAGGGCUUGCCGCUUGUCCUCCUCUCUACUCACAAAACCCUCCUGGAUGGGAUCCUGCUGCCCUUUAUGCUGCUCUCCCAGGGCCUGGGUGUGCUUCGUGUGGCCUGGGACUCCCGCGCCUGCUCCCCUGCCCUCAGAGCUCUGCUGAGGAAGCUUGGGGGGCUUUUCCUGCCCCCAGAGGCCAGCCUCUCCCUGGACAGCUCUGAGGGGCUCCUUGCCAGGGCUGUGGUCCAGGCGGUGAGUGCCCCCAGUGGUUACAUAUGGGCCAGGCUAAGGGGACAGGGGUCUGUUUCUGCUCUGGCCUUAACACCCCCUCUGACCCCUCCUAUUCCAGGUCAUAGAGCAGCUGCUGGUUAGUGGGCAGCCCCUGCUCAUCUUCCUGGAGGAACCUCCUGGGGCUCUGGGGCCACGGCUGUCAGCCCUGGGCCAGGCUUGGGUGGGGUUUGUGGUGCAGGCAGUCCAGGUGGGCAUCGUCCCAGAUGCUCUGCUGGUACCAGUGGCCGUCACCUAUGACCUGGUUCCGGAUGCACCGUGUGACAUAGACCAUGUGAGAAUGUGAGACCUUCCAGCCCCUUGGGCCCCUAGGUGGACACCAGCUCCCGAUAGGAGGCACAAUAUUGUGUCCUGUGGCUGAGCCCCACUUAGGGCUGUGGGGGGCACAAAGGAAUCGUCCUUACAAUCAUCUGGCAGCACCUGUCAAGGCCAUUACCAUCAUCUCAUUUCAUCCUCUGAAGACCUUGAUAGGGAGGGAUUUUUCCUGUGUCAUGGAUAAGGAAAGAGGAGCUUGGGACAAGGUCACGCACCAGUUUGGGCCUGAGAUAAAACUGAGCAGGGUGGGACCAGAGGAUACCUCUGGAGACCAGGAUGGGUGGGCAGCCCUGAUGUCCGCCCGAGAGCAGUGUCCUCGGCGAGUAUAGUUAUCCUUUCCCUCCUUGCAGGCCUCGGCCCCCCUGGGGCUGUGGACAGGAGCUCUGGCUGUCCUACGUAGCUUGUGGAGCCGCUGGGGCUGCAGCCACCGGAUCUGCUCCCGGGUGCACCUAGCUCAGCCCUUUUCCCUGCAGGAAUACAUCGUCAGUGCCAGAAGCUGCUGGGGCGGCAGACAGACCCUGGAGCAGCUACUGCAGCCCAUCGUGCUGGGCCAAUGUACUGCUGUCCCAGACACUGAGAAGGAGCAGGAGUGGACCCCCAUAACUGGGCCUCUCCUGGCCCUCAAGGAAGAGGACCAGCUCCUGGUCAGGAGACUGAGCUGUCAUGUCCUGAGUGGUGAGGGUGAACCAGAUCUGGGCCUUUGCGGGUGGGUCACUGAACCGUCCCCUCUCGGGGUCAGCCAGUCACCAGGGUUCUCCAUUCCAAGUGUCUGCACCUGAGGUGCUCUGUGAUACCUUGGGGACAUCUGAAGAAGAAUGGAACCCUUCUCCUACAGGAGGAGCAGGCAGCCAGGGCCAUCAUAAGGGAGCAGCUAAGUGCAUGCACAAAGAUGGUGGCCUGAGGCCAGGAGGCUGCAGCUGCUUCCCCAAGGCCACACCCAGCCCUGCCUUCUGAGCGGAGUCUCCUUAGCUUUGGGUGGAGAUGGUGUUAACUGAAUGGAAUGAUACGUGUAAGGGGCUUAGCACAGCGCCUCCACAGAGGGCCCUUAUAGGGAGAUCCAUCUGUAUCUUCUUCAGUGCCCCUCUAGUAGAGGCUGUGGGUUGAUGUGUGGGCCCUACGAUGAGAUCCAGGGGAAGGCCCCCAGCUCCUGGCCUGCUCUCAGCCUGUGUGAUGAUAAACACCACUGCUCCGGGUGUACGUUCCUCAUCCCUGGGGUGGAGUUGGGAUGUGUGGCUAGGAAGACUUGCUAGAUCAUGGAGGGACCAGGCUGCUGGGCCUCAACCUGACCAGCAUCUCCACCCCCCGCCCCACUCCAGCCAGUGUAGGGAGCUCUGCGGUGAUGAGCACGGCCAUUAUGGCAACGCUGCUGCUCUUCAAGCAUCAGAAGGGUGUGUUCCUGUCGCAGCUCCUGGGGGAGUUCUCCUGGCUGACGGAGGAGAUACUGUUGCGUGGCUUUGAUGUAGGCUUCUCUGGGCAGCUGCGGAGCCUGCUGCAGCACUCACUGAGCCUGCUGCGGGCGCACGUGGCCCUGCUGCGCAUCCGUCAGGGUGACUUGCUGGUGGUGCCGCAGCCUGGCCCAGGCCUCACACACCUGGCACAACUGAGUGCUGAGCUGCUGCCCGUCUUCCUGAGCGAGGCUGUGGGCGCCUGUGCAGUGCGGGGGCUGCUGGCAGGCAGAGUGCCGCCCCAGGGGCCCUGGGAGCUGCAGGGCAUAUUGCUGCUGAGCCAGAAUGAGCUGUACCGCCAGAUCCUGCUGCUGAUGCACCUGCUGCCGCAAGACCUGCUGCUGCUAAAGCCCUGCCAGUCUUCCUACUGCUACUGUCAGGAGGUGCUGGACCGGCUCAUCCAAUGCGGGCUCCUGGUUGCUGAGGAGGUAGGCAGGGCAGUUGGAGACAAGAUCCUUGCCUGGAGCCUGGCCUCCUCCAGCCUCCCACCCUGAGUGCCAGCUGCCCCAGGCUCCUCCUCUGCCCCGUGUGUGCUGUGGGGGUGGGCAGCCCCUGGCCUUGCAGCGGGGAAGCCUAGCUCGCACCUCUGCUCCCUGUGCCUUGGGAUAUAGCCACCUAUGCCCCGGUUCUGUGUGUCUCUCUGGAUAGCACUGGACAUGUGUGCCUCUGAGGUUCUCUGCACACCUCCUGCUCCCCACAUUUCUUGGCCACAGGGCUACUGCCCUUGAGGGUGGGAAUUCACUUCCUCUCACUCUGCAAGUUGGCCCAGCAGGUGCUGGGGCAUGGCUCUGGCCAUCCUCUUGGGUCUCUAGGUCUGCUUUUACUGGUUUCACCUGCAUGUACCUGGUCUGGGGGUGUAGGGUUGAUCCCUGGCCAGCUUGUCAGAGAACAAUGGCUCCACGGCCCCUAGACCCCAGGCUCCCGGCCAGCCUGUGACACAGGGCGACAGCGAUUGAGCAGAAAGCUGCUGUGGAAACCGAGUGGGGACUUUACUGAUAGUGACAGUGAUGACUUCGGAGAGGCUGACGGCCGGUACUUCAGGGUGUGUUUCAAAAAGCUGCCCCUGGAGGGAGGUGGUAGGGAGGCGGUGGGGAGCUGCACUCACCCCGGCCUGUCCCCUCCAGCUCAGCCAGCAGUCACACUGCCCAGAUUUCUUUCUUUUCCUCUGCCGCCUGCUCAGCCCGCUGCUCAAGGCCUUUGCACAGGCUGCCGCCUUCCUCCGCCAGGGCCAGCUGCCCGAUACUGAGUUGGGCUACACAGAGCAGCUGUUCCAGUUCCUGCAGGCCACCGCCCAGGAAGAAGGGAUCUUCGAGUGUGCGGACCCAAAGCUCGCCAUCAGUGCUGUCUGGACCUUCAGAGACCUAGGGGUUCUGCAGCAGACGCCGAGCCCUGCAGGCCCCAGGCUCCACCUGUCCCCUACUUUUGCCAGCCUGGACAAUCAGGAAAAACUAGAACAGUUCAUCCGGCAGUUCAUUUGUAGCUAGAACUGUGAGGAGGAGCCUGUGCUGAGACUUCUCAGCCCCAGAACACAGCUGUGUCCUAGAGCCAGAAGAUGGAGAGGAGGCUGCAAACCCUUAGCUGCUCUAUAAAUAUAAUCAUUGAG